AUUUAGGUAGUUUAAAUAAAAUGUUGAUUUGUGGCGUCAACGAUAUCAAAAGAUCCUAGGUU
rnacentral:tRNA from 1 species